rnacentral:sRNA from 1 species
GUGAGGGGGUGACUAGUGACAGAGUGAGGGAAGGAAGAGGUGACUAGUGACAGAGUGAGGAAGGGGGUGACACAGUGACAGAGUGAGGGAGGGGGUGACACAGUGACAGAGUGAAGGAGGUGGUGACUGUCACUAGUCACCCCAUCCCUCCCUCUGUCACUAAUCACCACCUCCCUCACUCUGUCACUAGUCAUCCCUUCCCUCUCUCACUCUGUCACUAGUCACCCCCUCCCUCUCUCUGUCACUAGUCACACCCUCCCUCAC